UACGUAGGGUGCAAGCGUUGUCCGGAAUUAUUGGGCGUAAAGAGCUCGUAGGCGGUUUGUUGCGUCGGCUGUGAAAUCCCGAGGCUCAACCUCGGGUCUGCAGUCGAUACGAGCAAACUAGAGUGUUGCAGGGGGAGACUGGAAUUCCUGGUGUAGCGGUGAAAUGCGCAGAUAUCAGGAGGAACACCCGGUGGCGAAGGCGGGUCUCUGGGCAACAACUGACGCUGGAGGAGCGAAAGCGUGGGGAGCGAACAGG
rnacentral:rRNA from 1 species